CAGUCGCCGCGGUAAUACGGAGGGAGCUAGCGUUGUUCGGAAUUACUGGGCGUAAAGCGCACGUAGGCGGCUUUGUAAGUCAGAGGUGAAAGCCUGGAGCUCAACUCCAGAACUGCCUUUGAGACUGCAUCGCUCGAAUCCGGGAGAGGUGAGUGGAAUUCCGAGUGUAGAGGUGAAAUUCGUAGAUAUUCGGAAGAACACCAGUGGCGAAGGCGGCUCACUGGACCGGUAUUGACGCUGAGGUGCGAAAGCGUGGGGAGCAAACAGGAUUAGAUACCCGAGUAGUCCCUGUCUCUUAUAC
rnacentral:rRNA from 1 species